rnacentral:rRNA from 1 species
GGAUGAACGCUGGCGGCGUGCCUAAUACAUGCAAGUCGAACUAGUUCUGAUUAUUGAAAGGUGCUUGCAUCUUGAUUUUAAUUUUGAACGAGUGGCGGACGGGUGAGUAACACGUGGGUAACCUGCCCUUAAGUGGGGGAUAACAUUUGGAAACAGAUGCUAAUACCGCAUAAAUCCAAGAACCGCAUGGUUCUUGGCUGAAAGAUGGCGUAAGCUAUCGCUUUUGGAUGGACCCGCGGCGUAUUAGCUAGUUGGUGAGGUAACGGCUCACCAAGGCAAUGAUACGUAGCCGAACUGAGAGGUUGAUCGGCCACAUUGGGACUGAGACACGGCCCAAACUCCUACGGGAGGCAGCAGUAGGGAAUCUUCCACAAUGGACGCAAGUCUGAUGGAGCAACGCCGCGUGAGUGAAGAAGGCUUUCGGGUCGUAAAACUCUGUUGUUGGAGAAGAAUGGUCGGCAGAGUAACUGUUGUCGGCGUGACGGUAUCCAACCAGAAAGCCACGGCUAACUACGUGCCAGCAGCCGCGGUAAUACGUAGGUGGCAAGCGUUAUCCGGAUUUAUUGGGCGUAAAGCGAGCGCAGGCGGUUUUUUAAGUCUGAUGUGAAAGCCCUCGGCUUAACCGAGGAAGUGCCAUCGGAAACUGGGAAACUUGAGUGCAGAAAAGGACAGUGGAACUCCAUGUGUAGCGGUGAAAUGCGUAGAUAUAUGGAAGAACACCAGUGGCGAAGGCGGCUGUCUGGUCUGUAACUGACGCUGAGGCUCGAAAGCAUGGGUUAGGGAACAGGAUUAGAUACCCUGGUAGUUCAUGCGGUAAACGAUGAAUGCUAGGUGUUGGAGGGUUUCCGCCCUUCAGUGCCGGCAGCUAACGCAUUAAACCUUUCCCCCUGGGGAGUGCGACCGCAAGGGUUGAAACUCAAAGGAAUUGACGGGGGGCCCGCACAAGCGGAGGAGCAUGUGGUUUAAUUCGAAGCAACGCGAAGAACCUUACCAGGUCUUGACAUCUUUUGAUCACCUGAGAGAUCAGGUUUCCCCUUCGGGGGCAAAAUGACAGGUGGUGCAUGGUUGUCGUCAGCUCGUGUCGUGAGAUGUUGGGUUAAGUCCCGCAACGAGCGCAACCCUUAUGACUAGUUGCCAGCAUUUAGUUGGGCACUAUAGUAAGACUGCCGGUGACAAACCGGAGGAAGGUGGGGAUGACGUCAAAUCAUCAUGCCCCUUAUGACCUGGGCUACACACGUGCUACAAUGGAUGGUACAACGAGUUGCGAGACCGCGAGGUCAAGCUAAUCUCUUAAAGCCAUUCUCAGUUCGGACUGUAGGCUGCAACUCGCCUACACGAAGUCGGAAUCGCUAGUAAUCGCGGAUCAGCACGCCGCGGUGAAUACGUUCCCGGGCCUUGUACACACCGCCCGUCACACCAUGAGAGUUUGUAACACCCGAAGCCGGUGGCGUAACCCUUUUAGGGAGCGAGCCGUCUAAGGUGGGACAAAUGAUU